UACAUCCCAUAACCCUCUGCUUCUAAUCCAGAUGAACCAAGUUGGUGGAAGGGACCACUGCAGCUGCUGUGCUGACCACUGGAGCUGUGUUGCCAAGUACAUUAGAGCAUGUCCCACAGGAACUGUGAAGAAAAAAAGUACCAAAUCAGCCAUGACUAGGGCAGCCUCUAAUGCUUGUGGGGCUGCUACACACUCCUGUGCCGUAGGUGGCGACGUGCACCCGGUGUUGUUUGUGAUCCGCCAGUAAAUCCAGAGAAGAAGAAAAGCCAGGUAUUUCCUGCAUGAGAGAAGGUGUGCCAGCGAGUCGUGGGACGUGGACGCCGCCACAGAAGGACUUCAGUCUGUCCAGGCGUCACUUCCAGAGACAGUCCUGGUUUCUGGAUCCCCCCUCCCCUCCACAAUGAAGUCUUCUUUGUGGAGGGGAGGGGCCACCCGGUUGUUGUGAUGUGUGUUGCCAGUGUAAACGCUCAAUAAAAUUAUUUUAAAAUCCAUAA